rnacentral:lncRNA from 1 species
CAAAGGGAUUCACUCCUUACAGAUCUGGUAAAUUUCCAGGAAGAUCCAUAGGUACUGACUGAUGUUUGAAAUCCAAAGUUCACCUGCAUUGCUAAGUGUCACUGCAGAAAAUAUACUAAACUUAUGGAAACACUGCUUGGAUACAUCAGUUGGUUGAUGGAGACGCAUUUCAUCCUGUUUGGAGGAAUGUACAUGUGUAAAAUACAAAAGCAACUGCCAAGAGAAUUGUGCUAUGACUUUCCUGCUGGGCUGCAGAACUAUCCUGUCAGCCACCAGAGCAAGCUGAGCUGAGCUUCUCAUGAGUGGAUUGGUAAGAAAUCACUGUCAGUCUCACAGGUAAAACUUCCUUCUCAAUGAUUUUAAGAAAGAGCAAUUAAAUUGCCUGAGGACAUUAGUGAGUGGGACAUAAGAAAUAUAAAGUUGUAAGAACACUGCUUUUCUCCUUUAGCCAUAGAAUUCAGGUUUAAGCCAACUAAAGUCCAACUCCAAGGUCUACCCAAGGCUAAAAUGAAUGGCAAGCAAGUACUAAGAACUAACCAGCAC